CGUUCCCGGACCUUGUACACACCGCCCGUCAAGCCAUGAAAGUCAGGGAGACCUGAAGACAGUGACCGUCACAGGAGCUGUUAAGGGUAAAACUGGUAAUUAGGGCU
rnacentral:rRNA from 1 species